rnacentral:rRNA from 1 species
CGUAGGGUGCGAGCGUUCAUCGGAAUUACUGGGCGUAAAGCGUGCGCAGGCGGUUAUGCAAGACAGAUGUGAAAUCCCCGGGCUCAACCUGGGAACUGCAUUAGUGACUGCAUAGCUAGAGUGCGGCAGAGGGGGAUGGAAUUCCACGUGUAGCAGUGAAAUGCGUAGAGAUGUGGAGGAACACCGAUGGUGAAGGCAGCCCCCUGGGACAUGUCUGACGCUCAGGUACGAAAGCGUGGGGAGCAAACAG